CCUCAGCUUGGAACUUCAGAGGUUGAAAGUACAGCUCAAAUGCCUGAGAUGGAGGUGAGCCUCCAAAGAAAUUACAUCUUUGAAGAGAAUUUGCAGUCUGAAGAGAAGCUUUAGCUUCCAGCUGCUUUCAGACAUCUUCUGAACCCCUGUGUGGAGGAAAAGCUAGUUGUGCAGGAUCAAUCAACAGACAAACUUGACCAAGAGGUCUUUAGAGCAUUGGCACUGGCAAGAUCAAAGAAAUGGUGAAAUUACUUGUGCUGAAGCAGUUUCAGAUCCUCCUGAACAAGGAGUUUAAAAUUUGUCUCAGAACUCUGAAAAUAAUGAAGAUUGUGUCUCUGGAGGAUUUAACCCAAAUGAGGAAGAAAUAAGUAUGGCUUAUAGAAAAAAUGUACUAAUGGAAUAAGCUUAGAAGAAGGCAGUCUACAAGGAUUCUUCCUUCCCUCAAAAUGGAGCCCAAAGGAGAGAGGCUGGCUACCAUGCAUCUAACUGCAGGACACCAGGCUGAGAAAAUAAUCUGGAGACCAAAAAGUCUAUUGAAAACCAGGAUGUUUCUGAAUAAGACCACUUUGGGAGCAAUAAUGAAAAGACCUACCAAAGAUGGUCCCUGAAACCUAAACUUGAGAAAAGAUGGAGAAUGUAAAGAAUAGGUUGGAGAGCCAAGAGGGAGACCAGCAGAGUAUGGGAUCAAAUGUCAGUUGCCAGCAAGAAAAUACUCAACAAAGAGAGGGGCCAGGCAAAAAGAAAAUUUGCAAGAAUAUAUCUUAUUAUACAACAAAAAUUCCUAUAGGAAAGAGACCAUAUAAGUGUGAUAUGACUGAAGAUAUUUUCAAACAGAAUACGGAACUAAUGAAACAUAAAAUGUGCAGUGUAGGGAAACAAUACAAAUGUAAGGAAUGUGGGAAAACUUUCAGUUACUAUUCUUUUCUUAGUAAUCAUCCAAAGAGUCACCCUUAUCUUCUCAUUUUGGAGAGAAAUCUUCUGAAUGUAAUAGUUGGAAAAUCUUCAGUGAGAAUGUAACCUUUAUUCAGCAUGAGAAAAUCCACAGUGGAGAGAAACCCUUCAAAUGCAAUGACUGUGUGAAAACUUUCAGCAGGAGUUCUCUUAUUAAACAUCACAGAGUGACUCCUCUGGUGGGCCAGUGGCGAAGAAUCUGCCUUACAAUGCAGGGGAUGCAGGUUCCAUCCCUGGUCAGGGAACUAAGAUCCCACAUGCCCCGGGGCAACUAAGCCUGUGUGCCACAACUACUGAGCU